rnacentral:rRNA from 1 species
GAUGAACGCUGGCGGCGUGCCUAAUACAUGCAAGUCGAGCGAACGGACGAGAAGCUUGCUUUUCUGAUGUUAUCGGCGGACGGGUGAGUAACACGUGGAUAACCUACCUAUAAGACUGGGAUAACUUCGGGAAACCGGAGCUAAUACCGGAUAAUAUUUUGAACCGCAUGGUUCAAAAGUGAAAGACGGUCUUGCUGUCACUUAUAGAUGGAUCCGCGCUGCAUUAGCUAGUUGUUAAGGUAACGGCUUACCAAGGCAACGAUGCAUAGCCGACCUGAGAGGGUGAUCGGCCACACUGGAACUGAGACACGGCCCAGACUCCUACGGGAGGCAGCAGUAGGGAAUCUUCCGAAAUGGGCGAAAGCCUGACGGAGCAACGCCGCGUGAGUGAUGAAGGUCUUCGGAUCGUAAAACUCUGUUAUUAGGGAAGAACAUAUGUGUAAGUAACUGUGCACAUCUUGACGGUACCUAAUCAGAAAGCCACGGCUAACUACGUG